GAGUUUGAUCCUGGCUCAGGAUGAACGCUAGCGACAGGCUUAACACAUGCAAGUCGAGGGGCAGCGUGGGCGUAGCAAUACGCCUGACGGCGACCGGCGCACUGGUGAGUAACACGUAUGCGACCUGCCCCCUACAGGGGUAUAACCCGUAGAAAUGCGGACUAAUCCCCCAUAGUCCUGGAUGCUGCAUGGCAUUCAGGGGAAAGGUCAGCCGGUAGGGGAUGGGCAUGCGGCGCAUUAGCUAGUUGGCGGGGCAACGGCCCACCAAGGCGACGAUGCGUAGGGGUUCUGAGAGGAAGGUCCCCCACACUGGUACUGAGACACGGACCAGACUCCUACGGGAGGCAGCAGUGAGGAAUAUUGGUCAAUGGGCGCAGGCCUGAACCAGCCAAGUCGCGUGAGGGAAGACGGUCCUACGGAUUGUAAACCUCUUUUGUCGGGGAGUAACGUGCGGGACGUGUCCCGUAUUGAGAGUACCCGAAGAAAAAGCAUCGGCUAACUCCGUGCCAGCAGCCGCGGUAAUACGGAGGAUGCGAGCGUUAUCCGGAUUUAUUGGGUUUAAAGGGUGCGCAGGCGGCGCGCCAAGUCAGCGGUCAAAGUUCCGGGCUCAACCCGGUGUCGCCGUUGAAACUGGCGUGCUCGAGUGCGUGCGAGGAAGGCGGAAUGCGUUGUGUAGCGGUGAAAUGCAUAGAUAUGACGCAGAACUCCGAUUGCGAAGGCAGCUUUCCAGCGCGCUACUGACGCUGAGGCACGAAAGCGUGGGGAUCGAACAGGAUUAGAUACCCUGGUAGUCCACGCAGUAAACGAUGACUACUAGCUUUCCGGGGCGACUGGGCCCUGGGAGGCACAGCGAAAGCGUUAAGUAGUCCACCUGGGGAGUA
rnacentral:rRNA from 1 species